rnacentral:rRNA from 1 species
AGCGAACGCUGGCGGCAGGCUUAACACAUGCAAGUCGAACGGGCACUUCGGUGCUAGUGGCAGACGGGUGAGUAACGCGUGGGAACGUGCCUUUCGGUUCGGAAUAAUCCAGGGAAACUUGGACUAAUACCGGAUACGCCCUUCGGGGGAAAGAUUUAUCGCCGAAAGAUCGGCCCGCGUCUGAUUAGCUAGUUGGUGAGGUAAAGGCUCACCAAGGCGACGAUCAGUAGCUGGUCUGAGUGGAUGAUCAGCCACAUUGGGACUGAGACACGGCCCAAACUCCUACGGGAGGCAGCAGUGGGGAAUAUUGGACAAUGGGCGCAAGCCUGAUCCAGCCAUGCCGCGUGAGUGAUGAAGGCCUUAGGGUUGUAAAGCUCUUUUGUCCGGGAAGAUAAUGACUGUACCGGAAGAAUAAGCCCCGGCUAACUUCGUGCCAGCCGCCGCAGUAAUAC